AUUACCCAUCGUGAUGUGGUAUUGGCAGUCAUAAUUGAUUGAUUGCAUAGGGCAAUAUUUUAUUGCCCUUUAAUUUUA
rfam:Yokenella regensburgei ATCC 43003 genomic scaffold Scfld3, whole genome shotgun sequence.